rnacentral:ncRNA from 1 species
GUGUACAAAAGGAGAGAAGGUCAGUACUCCUCUUCACAAUGAUAGAGAAGUCCUGGGACUAACAACACCCACCUGUCAGGUUUGGUGGCACAUGCCUUU